UACGAAGGGGCUAGCGUUGCUCGGAAUCACUGGGCGUAAAGGUGCGUAGGCGGGUCUUUAAGUCAGGGGUGAAUCCUGGAGCUCAACUCCAGAACUGCCUUGAUACUGAAGAUCUUGAAGUCCGGGAGAGGUGGAGUGGAACUGCGAGUGUAGAGGUGAAAAUUCGUAGAUAUUCGCAAAGAACACCAGUGGCGAAGGCGGACUCACUG
rnacentral:rRNA from 1 species